rnacentral:rRNA from 1 species
GACAGAGGCCUCGAGCGUUUAGGCGGAAUCACUGGGCUUAAAGCGCGUGUAGGCGGAUCGUUAAGUGUCUUGUGAAAUCCCACGGCUUAACCGUGGAACUGCUUGGUAUACUGCUUAUCUUGGGCCACUUAGGGGCUACCGGAACAAACGGUGGAGCGGUGAAAUGCGUAGAUAUCGUUUGGAACGCCAAUGGUGAAAACAGGUAGCUGGGAGUGUGCCGACGCUGAGACACGAAAGCCAGGGGAGCGAACGGG